rnacentral:RNase_P_RNA from 1 species
GGGGAAGAUUAGAUGUUCGCUGUAAAAAUGCAGAGGAAAGUCCGGACACCAUAGGGCAGGAUACUUCCUAACAGGAAGCUGUAGUGAUGCAGAGAUAGCUCCACAGAAAGUAAACCGCUAUUCAGUUUUUUCUGAAGCAGCAAGGGUGAAACGGCGGUGUAAGAGACCACCGGUAUCUUUGGUAACAGAGAUAGCCAGGAAAGCCUUAUCUGGUGCAAUGCCAAAUAGGAAAGCAAUGAUGUUGCCCGCAUCGCUUUCGGGUAGGCAGCUGGAACUGUUUUGUGAGAAGCAGUCAAGAUGAAUGAACAUCACUUUCAGGAAACUGAAAGCACAGAAUCCGGCUUAUAAUCUUCCCCAUAA